UAGUGGUUAAUUCGAUGCAACGCGAAGAACCUUACCAGGCUUGACAUCCCACGAAUUCAUCUGAAAGGAUGGAGUGCCUUCGGGAGCGUGGAGACAGGUGGUGCAUGGUUGUCGUCAGCUCGUGUCGUGAGAUGUUGGGUUAAGUCCCGCAACGAGCGCAACCCUUGCUAUUAGUUGCUAACAGGUAGAGCUGAGCACUCUAAUGGGACUGCCGGUGACAAGCCGGAGGAAGGUGGGGAUGACGUCAAAUCAUCAUGCCCUUUAUGACCUGGGCUACACACGUGCUACAAUGGAUGGUACAGAGAGCAGCGAGGCAGCGAUGUGGAGCGAAUCUCAAAAAGCCAUUCUCAGUUCGGAUUGGAGUCUGCAACUCGACUCCAUGAAGUCGGAAUCGCUAGUAAUCGCGAAUCAGCAUGUCGCGGUGAAUGCGUUCCCGGGCCUU
rnacentral:rRNA from 1 species